GCGAACGCUAGGCGGCAGCGCCUAAUACAUAGCAAGUCGCACGCGAAGGUGUAGCAUAGCCCCGGUAGCGGGCAGCACGGGAUGAGUAACACGUGGGGAACCUUCCCCGGCAGUGGUCGGAUAACCCAUGCGAAACUGGGGGCUAAGACCGAUACGAGCGCGGCUUAAGGUCCGAGGAAAGCAGGCUUAUGCGCUGAAGGGAUCGGGGCCCGCGUCCCAUUAGCUAUGUUGGUGAGGUAACGGCGCACCAAGGCGACGAUCAGGGUAGCUGGUCUGAGAGGAUGGCCAGCCACAUUGGGAACUGAGAUACGGUCCCAGACUCCUACGGGAGGCAGCAGUGGGGAAUCUUGCGCAAUGGCCGAACGGCUGACGCAGCGACGCCGCGUGUGGGACUGAAGGCCCUCGGAGUGUAAAGCCCUGUGGGCCCGGGACGAAUAGGCGGGUCGAUUACAGGCCGGCGCUGACGGUACCGGCUUAGCAAGCACCGGCUAACUCCUGUGUCCAGCAGCCGCGGUAAGACAGAGGGGUGCGAACGUUGCUCGGAAUGACUGGGCGUAAAGGCGCGUGCAGGUGGCCUUGAGCAAGGGGUGGUGAAAGCCCGGGGCUCAACCCCGGAUCUGCGCGCACGAACUGAUUGAGGCUCGAGGGCUGGAGAGGUCGGACGGAAUUCCCGGUGUAGCGGUGGAAAUUCGUAGAUAUCCGGGAGGAACACCGGUGGCGAAGGCGGUCUGACUGGACAGUUGCCUGACAGCUGAUGACGCGACAGCGUGGGUAGCAAACAGGAUUAGAUACCCUGGUAGUCCACGCCGUAAACGAUGGUACUAGGGUGUCCUGGGGUAUCGACCCCGCUGGUGCCGAAGCCUAACGCAGUAAGUAGCCGCCCGCCUGGGAAGUACGACCGCAAGGCUUAAACUCAAAGGAAUUGACGGGGGCCCGCACAAGCGGUGGAGCAUGUGGUUUAAUUCGACGCAACGCGAAGAACCUUACCUAGGCUUGACAUGUACGAGUAAGCUCUCAGAAACGAGAGCCCCUCUUCGGAGAUCGUGCACAGGUGCUGCAUGGCUGUCGUCAGCUCGUGUCGUGAGAUGUUGGGUUAAGUCCCGCAACGAGCGCAACCCUUAUCGAUAGUUGCUAGCGGUUCGGCCGAGCACUCUAUUGAGACUGCCGUUGACAAAACGGAGGAAGGUGGGGAUGACGUCAAGUCCUCAUGGCCUUUAUGUCCAGGGCUACACACGUGCUACAAUGGCAAGUACAAAGCGCUGCAAACCUGCGAAGGGGAGCCAAUCGCAAAAAGCUUGUCUCAGUUCGGAUUGGAGUCUGCAACUCGACUCCAUGAAGCUGGAAUCGCUAGUAAUCGCAGGAUCAGCAUGCUGCGGUGAAUACGUUCCCGGGUCUUGUACACACCGCCCGUCACAUCACGAAAGUGGGUUGUACUAGAAGUCGUCGCGCCAACCGUAAGGGGGCAGACGCCCACGGUAUGAUCCAUGAUUGGGGUG
rnacentral:rRNA from 1 species